rnacentral:misc_RNA from 1 species
GAUGAAGAACGUAGCGAAAUGCGAUAAGUAAUGUGAAUUGCAGAAUUCAGUGAAUCAUCGAAUCUUUGAACGCAUCUUGCGCCCGCCAGUAUUCUGGCGGGCAUGUCUGUUCGAGCGUCAUUACAACCCUCAGGCCCCCGGGCCUGGCGUUGGGGAUCGGCGGAGCCCCCCGUGGGCACACGCCGUCCCCCAAAUACAGUGGCGGUCCCGCCGCAGCUUCCAUCGCGUAGUAGCUAACACCUCGCGACUGGAGAGCGGCGCGGCCACGCCGUAAAACACCCAACUCUUCUGAAGUUGACCUCGAAUCAGGUAGGAAUACCCGCUGAACUUAAGCAUAUCAAUAAGCGGAGGA